CAUCGAUUGUCGAUGGUGAUGAUGAUGAGGAGGAUGGUGGUUGAAAUGGGCUUGAUUAUCGUCAUCAUCAUCAUCAUCAUCAUCAUCAUCAUCCUCA
rnacentral:miRNA from 1 species